AUCGUACUCCCUUCGUUUGGAAUUACUUGUCGCAGAAAUGGAUGUAUCUAGACGUAUUUUAGUUCUAGAUACAUCCAUUUCCGAGACAAGUAAUUCCGAACGGAGGGAGUAUGUC
rfam:Triticum urartu cultivar G1812 contig1130393, whole genome shotgun sequence.